rnacentral:rRNA from 1 species
GGUGAACGCUGGCGGUAGGCCUAACACAUGCAAGUCGAACGGCAGCACAGUAAGAGCUUGCUCUUACGGGUGGCGAGUGGCGGACGGGUGAGGAAUACAUCGGAAUCUACUUUUUCGUGGGGGAUAACGUAGGGAAACUUACGCUAAUACCGCAUACGACCUACGGGUGAAAGCAGGGGAUCUUCGGACCUUGCGCGAUUGAAUGAGCCGAUGUCGGAUUAGCUAGUUGGCGGGGUAAAGGCCCACCAAGGCGACGAUCCGUAGCUGGUCUGAGAGGAUGAUCAGCCACACUGGAACUGAGACACGGUCCAGACUCCUACGGGAGGCAGCAGUGGGGAAUAUUGGACAAUGGGCGCAAGCCUGAUCCAGCCAUACCGCGUGGGUGAAGAAGGCCUUCAGGUUGUAAAGCCCUUUUGUUGGGAAAGAAAAGCAGCAGGUUAAUACCCCGCUGUUCUGACGGUACCCAAAGAAUAAGCACCGGCUAACUUCGUG